rnacentral:rRNA from 1 species
UGGGGAAUAUUGCGCAAUGGACGAAAGUCUGACGCAGCGACGCCGCGUGUGGGAGGAAGCUCUUCGGGGUGUAAACCACUGUCAGGAGGGAAGAACGGCGCCGGUUCGAACAGUUCCGGCGAUUGACGGUACCUCCAAAGGAAGCGCCGGCUAACUCCGUGCCAGCAGCCGCGGUAAGACGGAGGGCGCAAGCGUUGUUCGGAAUUACUGGGCGUAAAGCGCGGGCAGGCGGUCUGUUAAGUCGUUUGUGAAAAUCCGGGGCUCAACCCCGGAAAUGCAUACGAUACUGGCAGGCUGGAGACUGGUAGAGGCUAGCGGAAUUCCUGGUGUAGCGGUGGAAUGCGUAGAUAUCAGGAAGAACACCUGUGGCGAAGGCGGCUAGCUGGGCCAGUUCUGACGCUGAUCCGCGAAAGCCAGGGGAGCAAACGGGAUUAGAUACCCUCGUAGUCCCUGAGCGGGCUGGCAAGGCGCAU